GGGAGUGGCGGACGGGUGAGUACCACGUGGGUCAUCUACCUCCGGGUGAGGAAUACCGGCGAGAAAUCGCCGACAAUACCGCAUACGCUCGCGCAAUCGAGCAAAGCCGGAAACGGCGCCGGGAGAUGAGCCUGCGGCUGAUUAGCUAGCUGGUGGGGUAAAAGCCUACCAGGGCGACGAUCAGUAGCUGGUCUGAGAGGAUGAUCAGCCACAUUGGGACUGAGACACGGCCCAAACUCCUACGGGAGGCAGCAGUGGGGAAUCUUGCGCAAUGGUCGAAAGACUGACGCAGCCAUGCCGCGUGAAUGAUGAAGGUCUUAGGAUUGUAAAAUUCUUUCAGCAGGGACGAUAAUGACGGUACCUGCAGAAGAAGCCCCGGCUAACUUCGUG
rnacentral:rRNA from 1 species